rnacentral:lncRNA from 1 species
GAAAAAUAUAACUAUGAGGUAAGGGGCAAAAUCUCACAGUGGAUUAAAAAUUGAAUAAAUGAUGGUGAAAAACUUGCACUGAAAGUCUUCACCUAAGAGUGUAAAGAGGUUAAUAGUAAAAACCUCUAAAGGUUCAGAUUGGAGCCUGUGUUAAUAUAACUUUUAAUGAUUUGGACAUUGCUUCUGCUAAAAUGGACAUUAAAUAUUGGCUAGCCGAAGUGAGAGGACAGUGAAACUAGGGGAGAUUGGUUAGACUGACAGCAUGUACAUUUUACCUUGAAACAGUGGUAUUCAUUUUGUGGAUUAUUUUGGCUCCAGCAUCAUAUUAUAUGACAGGAUUUUUCAGUGAGAAUAAUUUUCCUGCUCUCUGAGCAAGUCUCCAAUAGGUACCUCUGCAGCACCCGUGUGAAGUGAUUUUCCCCCUCUAGGUAUAGGAGUAGACAGACUUACAUGAGAAUGAGGAAUUCCUAUAUGCCGUCACUGCACCUUUUCUGCAGGCAAACCAGGAUGCAUGGCUAAAAAAAGAGCUGUUUAUUACAGUAAAUCCUCCUUCAUAAACAGUUACAGGGAACUCCUAUGCCUGCUGGGUCUUGCUGGUGCAUCUGUGUUUUCUGAGGUGCUGUUAACUUUAUUAUGGUGCUGAGGAAAUUACUGGCAUUAGUCUACCAUCAUCUGGAGCCCAGAAAGUUGUAACUCACUGCCUUUUUUCUUCUCUUGAAGCUCUUACCUGCUAAUUCCCAGAAUUACUCCCAGAACUCUCAGUCCCAUCUUUUUGUGAAUUGUCUGUGGGAACUACAUUCAAUUUUGCAUCUCUUUAAGUUCUUCCCAGAUACAACCUGUUUCCUUCCAUUGCUGAUUUUUAGGUCAAUUUGUUUCUGUACAGUGCUACUUAGCAGUGCUGUUAGCAGGACAUUUCAUGCUUUAUGUGGAGAAAAGACUGGUUGUGUCAUAGCUGUGAUAAUUACUAACAAGAUGAAAGUUGUCUGCAUACAGUAACACUGUUGGCGUGUGAAUACUUUCUACUGCAUUUAUUGGCUAGGAAUGAGACAGAAGUCCAGCAGAGCUUAGGAGCUGAAGUUCCCAAGUUUGAUCCAAAUUCAAUGAUGGCUGUGAGGAAACACCAGGAUUUUGUCACACCUUCUUAGGUCAAUGACAUUGGUUUGCUCACAUUCAGGAUAGAGUUUCUAACAACUGUGUUUUCAGGUUCUUUGUCUUCAGUGUAAGGUAUUUUUCUUUUUUUUGGACUUUAUUGAGAAAUUGUGAAAAUAUUGAAACUGUUGAGACACAACUGAGCUAAAGGGA